UCCGGUUUGACACCGGCAGUCUCCCUAGAGUUCCCGGCAUAACCCGCUGGUAACUAGGGACAAGGGUUGCGCUCGUUGCGGGACUUAACCCAACAUCUCACGACACGAGCUGACGACAACCAUGCACCACCUGUAUACCGACCUUGCGGGGAGACUGUUUCCAGCCUUUUCCGGUAUAUGUCAAGCCUUGGUAAGGUUCUUCGCGUUGCAUCGAAUUGAGCCACACGCUCCGCCGCUUGUGCGGGCCCCCGUCAAUUCCUUUGAGUUUUAGCCUUGCGGCCGUACUCCCCAGGCGGGGCACUUAAUGCGUUAGCUACGGCACGGAAUCCGUCGAUAGAACCCCACACCUAGUGCCCAUCGUUUACAGCGUGGACUAC
rnacentral:misc_RNA from 1 species